rnacentral:rRNA from 1 species
GACGAACGCUGGCGGCGUGCUUAACACAUGCAAGUCGAACGGUGACCUCGAGAGCUUGCUCUUGAGUGAUCAGUGGCGAACGGGUGAGUAACACGUGAGUAACCUGCCCCAGACUCUGGAAUAACCCCGGGAAACCGGAGCUAAUACCGGAUACGAAGUGGAGCCGCAUGGCUACCACUUGGAAAGUUUUUCGGUCUGGGAUGCACUCGCGGCCUAUCAGCUAGUUGGUUAGGUAACGGCUACCCAAGGCGACGCCGGGUAGCCGGCCUGAGACGGCGAGCGGCCACACUGGGACUGAGACACGGCCCAGACUCCUACGGGAGGCAGCAGUGGGGAAGAGUGCACAAUGGGCGAAAGCCUGAUGCAGCGAGGCGGCGUGAGGGAUGACGGCCUUCGGGUUGUAAACCUCUUUCAGCAGGGAAGAAGCGAAAGUGACGGUACCUGCAGAAGAAGCACCGGCUAACUACGUGCCAGCAGCCGCCGUAACAC